rnacentral:rRNA from 1 species
CCCUUAGAUGUUCUGGGCCGCACGCGCGCUACACUGACGAAUGCAACGAGCUUAUAACCUUGGCCGAAAGGUCUGGGUAAUCUCCAAAUUUCGUCGUGAUGGGGAUAGAUUAUUGCAAUUAUUAAUCUUCAACGAGGAAUGCCUAGUAAGCGCAAGUCAUCAGCUUGCGUUGAUUACGUCCCAGCCCUUUGUACACACCGCCCGUCGCUCCUACCGAUUGAAUGGUCCGGUGAAGCGUUCGGACCGUGGCCUUUGGACGGUUCGCCGUCUGUUGGCUGCGGGAAGUUCGUUAAACCUUAUCAUUUAGAGGAAGGAGAAGUCGUAACA